GCCCUCAUAGUUAAAUGGAUAUAACAGUCCCCUCCUAAGGGACAGUUACAGGUUCGAUUCCCGUUGAGGGUGCCA
rnacentral:tRNA from 1 species